GUAGGUGGUAAGGGAAGUAAGGCCACUGCCUGUGGCUCAACAAGAAAACCAGAGUCAAGGUUCCACACAAGGUGGAAGUUGAGAAUAUGCUCGUAAAAGGAUGGAGUGACAAAAAGUACAGUGGUCGGAGAGUAAGUUUAUACAAUGAAGAUUAAC
rnacentral:lncRNA from 1 species